rnacentral:rRNA from 1 species
UACGAAGGAGGCUAGCGUUGUUCGGAAUUACUGGGCGUAAAGCGCGCGCAGGCGGUCUUCCAAGUCAGUGGUGAAAGCCCGGAGCUCAACUCCGGAACUGCCAUUGAAACUGUUAGACUUGAGGAUGAGAGAGGUGAGUGGAAUUCCCAGUGUAGAGGUGAAAUUCGUAGAUAUUGGGAAGAACACCGGUGGCGAAGGCGGCUCACUGGUCAUUACUGUACG